rnacentral:rRNA from 1 species
UGGGGAAUAUUGCACAAUGGGGAAAGCCCUGAUGCAGCGACGCCGCGUGAAGGAAGAAGUAUCUCGGUAUGUAAACUUCUAUCAGCAGGGAAGAAAAUGACGGUACCUGACUAAGAAGCCCCGGCUAACUACGUGCCAGCAGCCGCGGUAAUACGUAGGGGGCAAGCGUUAUCCGGAUUUACUGGGUGUAAAGGGAGCGUAGACGGAGCAGCAAGUCUGAUGUGAAAGGCAGGGGCUCAACCCCUGACUGCAUUGGAAACUGUCCCUCUUGAGUGCCGGAGGGGGUAAGCGGAAUUCCUAGUGUAGCGGUGAAAUGCGUAGAUAUUAGGAGGAACACCAGUGGCGAAGGCGGCUUACUGGACGGUAACUGACACUGAGGCACGAAAGCGUGGGGAGCAAACAGGAUUAGAUACCC